rnacentral:rRNA from 1 species
GGGUUGUGAGGUUAAGCGACUAAGCGUACACGGUGGAUGCCCUGGCAGUCAGAGGCGAUGAAGGACGUGCUAAUCUGCGAUAAGCGUCGGUAAGGUGAUAUGAACCGUUAUAACCGGCGAUUUCCGAAUGGGGAAACCCAGUGUGUUUCGACACACUAUCAUUAACUGAAUCCAUAGGUUAAUGAGGCGAACCGGGGGAACUGAAACAUCUAAGUACCCCGAGGAAAAGAAAUCAACCGAGAUUCCCCCAGUAGCGGCGAGCGAACGGGGAGGAGCCCAGAGCCUGAAUCAGUGUGUGUGUUAGUGGAAGCGUCUGGAAAGGCGUGCGAUACAGGGUGACAGCCCCGUACACAAAAAUGCACAUAUUGUGAGCUCGAUGAGUAGGGCGGGACACGUGGUAUCCUGUCUGAAUAUGGGGGGACCAUCCUCCAAGGCUAAAUACUCCUGACUGAGCGAUAGUGAACCAGUACCGUGAGGGAAAGGCGAAAAGAACCCCGGCGAGGGGAGUGAAAAAGAACCUGAAACCGUGUACGUACAAGCAGUGGGAGCCUCUUUUAUGGGGUGACUGCGUACCUUUUGUAUAAUGGGUCAGCGACUUAUAUUCUGUAGCAAGGUUAACCGAAUAGGGGAGCCGAAGGGAAACCGAGUCUUAACUGGGCGUUAAGUUGCAGGGUAUAGACCCGAAACCCGGUGAUCUAGCCAUGGGCAGGUUGAAGGUUGGGUAACACUAACUGGAGGACCGAACCGACUAAUGUUGAAAAAUUAGCGGAUGACUUGUGGCUGGGGGUGAAAGGCCAAUCAAACCGGGAGAUAGCUGGUUCUCCCCGAAAGCUAUUUAGGUAGCGCCUCGUGAAUUCAUCUCCGGGGGUAGAGCACUGUUUCGGCAAGGGGGUCAUCCCGACUUACCAACCCGAUGCAAACUGCGAAUACCGGAGAAUGUUAUCACGGGAGACACACGGCGGGUGCUAACGUCCGUCGUGAAGAGGGAAACAACCCAGACCGCCAGCUAAGGUCCCAAAGUCAUGGUUAAGUGGGAAACGAUGUGGGAAGGCCCAGACAGCCAGGAUGUUGGCUUAGAAGCAGCCAUCAUUUAAAGAAAGCGUAAUAGCUCACUGGUCGAGUCGGCCUGCGCGGAAGAUGUAACGGGGCUAAACCAUG